UACGUAGGGUGCGAGCGUUUAAUCGGAAUUACUGGGCGUAAAGCGUGCGCAGGCGGUUCGUUGUGUCCGAUGUGAAAGCCCCGGGCUUAACCUGGGAAUGGCAUUGGAAACUGGCGAGCUUGAGUGCGGCAGAGGGGGGUGGAAUUCCGCGUGUAGCAGUGAAAUGCGUAGAGAUGCGGAGGAACACCGAUGGCGAAGGCAGCCCCCUGGGUCGACACUGACGCUCAGGCACGAAAGCGUGGGGAGCAAACAGG
rnacentral:rRNA from 1 species